rnacentral:lncRNA from 1 species
AUUUUUUUUUAAAAUUCCAAACGUUGCGGAACCGUUUGGAACCGGAUGGAACCGCCUGAAUCGGUCCGGUUCCUGUUCCGGCGGUUCCGGUUCCGCGGUUCUAACGGGUGGAACCGAUCCAUCACGGUUCCGGGGAACCGCCAGACCCGGAACCGCUAGAACCGCGGUUCUGGUCCGGUUCCGGUUCCGAACCGGGCCACUUCCAGCCUUAGGCUCAAAUCCUCUUUUCAAUUUCCAGUACCCCAAACCCCAAGGCCCCUUUAACUCGUUAACUGUUCAACCAUCUUAAUUGCUUAGUAAGUAAAUUCAUUCUUGACAUCAAAUAGAUUAAGCAGAGAAGAAAAAUCAUCCACUAAUCUAGAACAAGACAAAAUAACAGAGAGUUUCUUAAAUAAAAUUCACUAUAAAAAAAAAGCAAUUAAAAGAUUUCAAGUUAGAGAAGCGUGAAUGGACCUUUGAUGUCUAACUCGACCAAGCAGGAGCCUUCAAUCGGAGACAGCAAACCGCGAAUGGACACCUCAAUCGGAAAACCUCGCUGCCUCGAUCAUGCCUCCAAUUUCGCCGGAAUACUCCACUUUAUACAGUCCAUUCCCUUGUGUUAAAGCCAACGACUUUCAUCUCUUGAUUUGUCGUUUUCCGAAAACAUGGGAACAAUAAUGUAAUCCCGCAACGAUGUACUCCUAAUUUUAUUUUGGAGUGUACUGGUUUUUCUGUGAAGGAAAAGUAUGUUCACAAGCACUUUUUGGUAACAAAUAAAAUUGCUAUUUGUGGCGAAUUGGAUAUGUGUCUAGGGUUCUUGGUUUUGUCUCUUGGCUGGAGGGAAAUCAGUGUUUCAAGUUAAGGAAUGAAGAUUGAUUUUUGGGAAAGUUGUGGUGCGACAGUCGGAGUCUUAGGGGUGGGCGGCUCAUUGUUGAAGAUUAUUGCCGGACGUCCGGCGAGCUUGUGGCGGGUGGCUGGCAGCUGAAAGGUGGUGUGGAAGGCUGGUUUUUAGACUGAAGGCGGAGGGGGAGGCGGGUUGGGGCUGCUGCGGCUCUAAGGGUUCAGGGUUUUCUCUAGGGCUUUUUUUUUUCUUUUUGGGGUAGUGUGUAGGUUCAUUGGAGAAGACGAAGACUUGGGGGUUGUUAUGGGUUUAGGGUGUCGGUAGAGUAAUUUGGGCCUCUUACCAGACUUCAAUUUGGCUAAAAACUUUUAUAAAAUUGAAUUAAGAAAAAGCUAAAAAUUUAAUUUACUUCUAAACAAAAACAAGUAAAAUUUAAAUUUAAAUUUGAAAUUAUUAUAAUAAAUUAUUAUAUUUAAAAUAUAACUAAAAUUAAAGUUAAAACUAUUUUUUAUAUUUUUAGAAAUUAUAUUAAAAUAAAAUAGGUUCAAAAUAAAAUAUUUUUUUUAAAAUAUCUAAUACGUGAAUUAAAUAGAGAAAUAUGAAACUAUUGUUGUAAUUUUUAUGUUUUAUUCUUAAAAUAAAGAAAGAUUCAAAGCUAGUUAAAAUAACAAUAUUCGACCUAAACUAAAUAUCUAAAAGCUAAAAUGUGUAAAAACUCGAGAAUGGUCAAAAAUUACAUGUCUACACCUACAUCGGUAAAACACGGAAGAAAAAGUUGGAUAUUAUAAGGAAGCAAGCCUUAGACCCUAAUAAUGCACCCUAAAGUCGUGCAUGUAUAGGUCUAAAAAGCGGACAAUAUCACUGAUGAACUGGGUUGUUAUAUAAGGCGUCAGAGUCACUCCGCGUGCAACACCUUGAGCAUGGGGCAAAACUCAGUGUUCAAUUGCGCUUUGAAAAUUCACAUCUUUAAGAAGGUGGUAGAACAAAACUCAGCGGAAACACUGAGUCCCUAUGGAGGUGUGUAAAUGUAAUGCCC